rnacentral:rRNA from 1 species
AUUGAACGCUGGCGGCAUGCCUAACACAUGCAAGUCGAACGGCAGCGCGGGGCGAACCCUGCGGCGAGUGGCGGACGGGUGAGGAAUGCAUAGGAAUCUGCCCGGUUGUGGGGAGUAACGUAGGGAAACUUACGCUAAUACCGCAUACGACCUCGGGUGAAAGUGGGGAGCCUUCGGGCCUCACGCGAUCGGAUGAGCCUAUGCCCGAUUAGCUAGUUGGCGGGGUAAGAGCCCACCAAGGCGACGAUCGGUAGCUGGUCUGAGAGGAUGAUCAGCCACACUGGGACUGAGACACGGCCCAGACUCCUACGGGAGGCAGCAGUGGGGAAUAUUGGACAAUGGGCGAAAGCCUGAUCCAGCAACGCCGCGUGA